rnacentral:rRNA from 1 species
AAACAGAAGUUUGCCAGAGAAGAGUCCCAAGAUGACGUCAGGAAACUUCUGGAUUUCUUCGAGAAGAUGCAGAAGAUAAACCCAGAGUUCUUCUAUGAUUAUGACGUUGAUGCAAGUUGCAAAGGAUCAUAUGAAGAUUUUGGAGACAACGUUACAUUUGACACGACAUAUAAAACUAACAAAUUCCACAUGCCGCUGGGAGUUUUCGUGGGAGUGAACCAUCAUCUACAGAGCACAAUAUUUGUUGUUGCCCUCGUGCGAGAUGAAACAAUACCGUCGUUCGAGUGGGUUUUCAAAACAUUUCUGAGGUGUAUGAACAACAAGCCGCCAAUCUGCAUGCUCACAGACCAGUGUUCUUCGAUGAAGGCAGCAUUAAAAACUAUCCUCCCAGAUACACUACAUAAGUUGUGUCGGUGGCAUAUCAUGAAGAAGUACAAAGACCACCUCGCCUUGCUGUAUAAGGCGUACGAGAAACUCAAGGAUGACCUCAAUGCGGUGCUGAACCACGCACUAAUGCCGUCAGAAUUUGAACGAGCAUGGAAGGACCUCAUUCAGAAAUACAACUGGCGAAACGAUGAAAUGAUGAAUUCGCUGUGGGAUGACAGGCACGAGUGGAUCUCGGCUUACUACAAGGAAAUUUUCUAUGCUCGGAUGACUUCCACGCAGAGAAGCGAGAGCAUGAACCGCAUCCUGAAGAAAAACUUUGUCCAAGAGAAGCAUGAUCUCCAUAUGUUUGCUCAGCAGGUGGACAAGUGCAUUCAAACCAGGAAGGCCGUCGAGCACGCAGAGACAAUAGCAAAUGAGGUAAACAAAAUGUCCAUAAAAAACUGCUAA